UGCACACAAGGUUCGCGGCGCCGCCUCUGCGCGCCGUGGGGACACAGGGCUGUCGCCAAGGCCCCAGGAAGGGUUUUGCAAACGCUUGUGGGGCUGGGAUCGCGGCUGACAUACAAGCGUGUAAGCGGGUCCUAUCCUCCUCACUGUCCGUCUCUACUCGGUCUCGAAAAGUGGCCCCUGUCUGGCGUUCUACCCAGUGUAGCGUUGGCAACCACAGCAGCCGCAACCUAACGACGGCCGAAGACUGGACGCCGGAAGUCCCGCCCACGCCGCUACGGGAAACGCCCCUCUGCGCCUUCCGUGUAUGGCUUGGGGUCGGCUUCCGUCCCUUGUAGCACUGCCUUCUGGGUAAUGUAGUUUGACGGAAUCCGGGUGGUACCUGGAGCGCACUUUCUGUUCUCGCCCCCAGGGAAGCCAGAACCAGGCCCAAACCAGACGGCCCAGCUUAUGCCCAGCAACUCAGGGUCACCAGAUCUUGUCUCAUCAAGACACUUUCAGCCCACCACCCAAACCUGUAGCCCACAUGAAGAGGGCAAUAAUCCUGGACACUGUGAAAAGUAAAAGCAUUACGUCCAAAGAGGCAUCCCCAGGAUGGAGCAGAAAUGAGAAAACAUAAUGAAGAUACAAUUUUGCAAUCACUUCUGCCUAUAUUCCAUGGCCUACAACCCACUCAAAUAGCUCCACAUGUAAGAGAAGCCAGGAUGUGCUGUCCUCCAGAGCAUCCAGAAAGAGAUAAUGGGAUAGGAUAAGUCCUUGGCCAUUUUCUAG
rnacentral:lncRNA from 1 species